UGCAAGUCCAUGUUCUUGAUUAUUGUGUUCUAUGGCUUAUAAAAUUUGGCCUUUGGAGUUGAGGAGCCAUUAAAAAGCUUCCAAAGCAAGAGCCUUCAAUGAUUAUAAAGUGGUCGUCAUUAACCCAACCAAUCUGUGUCGGGUGGUGGCAACAAAUACUAACCUGGAGCAGAGGUAUUGAAAGAAUGGCCCGGUCGGCAGAACUUAAGCGGAUACAAAAGAAGUAAGCUUAUUACUCUUGUGAUUUUUAGGUAGCGUAUAUCAUUAACUAUUGUUAACUAAAAGGUAAAUUGGGCUGUUAUUCUGUUUACAAACUUUUGGUAUGCUUUAUGGUAUGUAUAUUAUAUAGUAUUAGAUCCAAUAUACUCAUUACAACUAUAAGUUUUUUUUCUUAUUCUGCAGACAAUGUUAAGUUGUUGACUGAUGUCAUUUGAUGUUGGAAUAGGAUUCAGGGUGGUGUUUGAGCAGUAUUACCUUCAUCUUUUAUUACUGAAAUUAAUGUUAAUACAAAGUUACCCAUUUGAGAAAUUGAUUCACAUGUUUCUUAUCUGAAUUUAAUGACGGAUUUUUUUUCAAUGUGGAUGUUGAUGCUUAUGCCUCUUUAGUGUCUCUAAGCUAAAUCACGGUCGUCAAGUUGGGCGGCAGAGUUGCAAGUUCCGGAGUUGCUAAUGCUGUGAAUCUGGACUUUGGUAUAACACCGAAUUUUAACUUUUCUGUAAGUUGACUAUGAUUUUGAACCAUCUGUUAAAGAAAUGUACAUAUUAAUUUUUCUACUUUGUGUCUCCAUGAUUUUCAUUCUCAUCAAAAGGCGUCUUUUUUUAUUAGUUAGAGGGAUUCGUUGAUAAUGGAUCAGGUAUGCGCUGUCGUGCGACAUUUAUGUCUCUCUUUCAGUUA